GACGAACGCUGGCGGCGUGCCUAAUACAUGCAAGUCGAACGCAGUGGGGACGGGUGAGUAACACGUGGGUAACCUCCCAUCAGAGGGGAUAACACUUGGAAACAGGUGCUAAACCGCUACUGAUGGAUGAACCCGCGGUGCAUUAGCGAGGAGGUGAGGUAACGGCUCACCAAGGCCACGAUGCAUAGCCGGCCUGAGAGGAUGAUAAGCCACACUGGGACUGAGACACGGUCCAGACUCGUAAGGGAGGCAGAAGGAGGGAAGCUUCGGGAAUGGACGAAAGUCUGACCGAGCAACGCCGGGUGUGUGAAGAAGGUUUUCGGAUCGUAAAACUCUUGUGUUAGAGAAGCGGUAUCUAACCAGAAAGCCACGGCUAACUACGUGCCAGCAGCCGCGGUAAUUC
rnacentral:rRNA from 1 species